CCUACGGGUGGCAGCAGUGGGGAAUAUUGGGCAAUGGACGCAAGUCUGACCCAGCAACGCCGCGUGAAGGAAGAAGGCUUUCGGGGUGUAAACUUCCUUUUAGGGGGAAGAGCAGAAGACGGUAUCCCUUGAAUAAGCUACGGCUAACUACGUGCCAGCAGCCGCGGUAAUACGGAGGUGGCAGGCGUUGUCCGGAUUUACUGGGUGUAAAGGGCGUGCAGCCGGAGAGACAAGUCAGAUGUGAAAUCCACGGGCUCAACCAUUGAACUGCAGUUGAAACUGUUUGCCUUGAGUGUCGGAGAGGUAAUCGGAAUUCGUUGUGUAGCGGUGAAAUGCGUAGAUAUAAGGAAGAACACCGGUGGCGAAGGCAGAUUACUGGACGAUAACUGACGGUGAGGCGCGAAAGCGUGGGGAGCAAACAGGAUUAGAUACCCUUGUAGUC
rnacentral:rRNA from 1 species